rnacentral:rRNA from 1 species
UACGUAGGGCGCAAGCGUUGUCCGGAAUUAUUGGGCGUAAAGAACUCGUAGGCGGUUUGUCGCGUCUGCUGUGAAAACUCGAGGCUCAACCUCGAGACGUCGGUGGAAACCGUUUGGCUAGAGUCCGGAAGAGGAGAGUGGAAUUCCCGGUGUAGCGGUGAAAUGCGCAGAUAUCGGGAAGAACACCCGUGGCGAAGGCGGCUCUCUGGGACGGUACUGACGCUGAGACGCGAAAGCGUGGGGAGCGAACAGG